rnacentral:rRNA from 1 species
GCAAGUCGAGCGGUAACAGGUGUAGCAAUACACGCUGACGAGCGGCGAACGGGUGAGUAAUGCUUCGGAAUUUGCCCAAUGGUGGGGAAUAACCAGCCGAAAGGUUGGCUAAUACCGCAUGAGUCCUACGGGAGAAAGCAGGGGAUCGCAAGACCUUGCGCCGAUGGAUAAGCCGAAGUCGGAUUAGCUAGUUGGUAGGGUAACGGCCUACCAAGGCGACGAUCCGUAGCUGGUCUGAGAGGACGACCAGCCACACUGGGACUGAGACACGGCCCAGACUCCUACGGGAGGCAGCAGUGGGGAAUAUUGGACAAUGGGGGAAACCCUGAUCCAGCGACGCCGCGUGUGUGAAGAAGGCCUGCGGGUUGUAAAGCACUUUUAGUGGGGAUGAAAAGCUCAGGGCUAACACCUCUGGGUCUUGACCUAACCCACAGAAAAAGCACCGGCUAACUCUGUGCCAGCAGCCGCGGUAAUACAGAGGGUGCAAGCGUUAAUCGGA